AGGAUGAACGCUGGCGGCGUGCCUAAGACAUGCAAGUCGAGCGGUAAGGUUCUCACUCUGUAUUUAACUAGUUUGAAUAUGGUGUGAGAAUACACGAGCGGCGGACGGGUGAGUAACACGUAGGAAUGUACCCCAAACUGAGGGAUAAGCACCAGAAAUGGUGUCUAAUACCACAUGUGAUCUUCGGAUUAAAGCUUCGGCGGUUUGGGAACGGCCUGCGCAUGAUUAGCUUGUUGGUGAGGUAAUAGCUCACCAAGGCGAUGAUCAUUAGCUGGUCUGAGAGGAUGACCAGCCACACUGGGACUGAGAUACGGCCCAGACUCCUACGGGAGGCAGCAGUCGGGAAUUUUCCACAAUGGCGCAAGCCUGAUGGAGCAACGCCGCGUGCAGGAUGAAGGCUUUCGGGUCGUAACUGCUUUUAUAUGUGAAGACUUCGACGGUAGCAUAUGAAUAAGAUCGCCAACUCCGUGUCA
rnacentral:rRNA from 1 species